UCGUGAAGCUCUCCACCGCCUUACGGUACCCUUCGUCCUCAGGGACCGCCUGAAUCUCCUUUAGGGUUUUGGUGUACAGAUUGAUCAAUACCUCCCUCGCGUUGGGGACCACAUCCAGACCCACGAUCCCCGUUGUCUGCUUCACUUUAGCCAACAAUGGCCGCCCGAUCACCCGCAGAAACAUUGCUAAGGUGAAACUCUGGAUCAAUACUUCCGAACGUUUUCGAUCUUCUUCUCGGGUGCUCUCUCACUGCGUUUUUCCAGUAUGGAGAGAAAUGGGGACUGCUGGUUCAGUUGUUAUUCCC
rnacentral:misc_RNA from 1 species